UACGGAGGGUGCAAGCGUUAUCCGAAUUUACUGGGUUUAAAGGGUGCGUAGGCGGCUUUUUAAGUCAGUGGUGAAAGCCUAGUGCUUAACACUAGAAUGGCCAUUGAUACUAAAGAGCUUGAAUCAAGGAGAGGUAAGCAGAAUUUAUGGUGUAGCAGUGAAAUGCUUAGAUAUCAUAAGGAAUACCAAUAGCGAAGGCAGCUUACUGGCCUUUGAUUGACGCUGAGGCACGAAAGCGUGGGGAGCAAACAGG
rnacentral:rRNA from 1 species